rnacentral:rRNA from 1 species
GACGAACGCUGGCGGCGUGCUUAACACAUGCAAGUCGAACGGAAAGGCCCUGCUUUUGUGGGUUGCUCGUGUGGCGAGCGCGUGUGUAACACGUGAGUAUCAUGCCCUUGUCUUUGGGAUAACUUCAGGAAACUGGGGCUCAUACCGGAUAGGAGCUCCUGCUGCAUGGGGGGGGUUGGAAAGUUUCGGCGGUUGGGGCUGGAUUAGAGGCUUAUCAGCUGGUUGGGGGGGUAGUGGAUUACCAAGUCUUUGACGGGUAGCCGGCAUGGGAGGGUGACCGGCCACCAUGGGCCUGCGAUACGGCCCAGACUCCUACGGGAGGCAGUAGGGGGGAAUAUGGCACAACGGCCGGAAGCCUGAUGCAGCAACGCCGCGUUCGUGAUAACGUCCUUCGGGGUGUAAACAUCUUUCGCCUGUGACGAGGCGAGAGUGACGGUAAUUGGUCAGGAAGCACCGGCUAACUACGUG